rnacentral:tRNA from 1 species
GGAGAGGUGGCUGAGUGGUCGAAAGCACCGGCUUGCUAAGCCGGCGUACCCUUUGGGGUACCGCGGGUUCGAAUCCCGCCCUCUCCGCCA